UUUACAAAAAUAUUAUCGACUACUUUGAUUUUUCCAUAAAAUAUUUUCAAUAUUGUCUCUUAUUUGCGUCAUAUGUUCUCCAUCUGCUAACUAUGCUGCAUCCAUGUCGCUUACAUCAUGCUCAAAAUCUCGGUUGUUUAUAUUUGUUUCUGUCAUUACAUCUACAAAAUCUGAAUCCAAAAAA
rnacentral:sRNA from 1 species